GACGAACGCUGGCGGCGUGCUUAACACAUGCAAGUCGAGCGGAAAGGCCCUUCGGGGUACUCGAGCGGCGAACGGGUGAGUAACACGUGAGUAAUCUGCCUCUAGCUCUGGGAUAGCUCCGGGAAACCGGGAUUAAUACCGGAUACGACCACUCAAGACAUCUUCUGUGGUGGAAAGAAUUUCGGCUAGAGAUGAGCUCGCGGCCUAUCAGCUUGUUGGUGGGGUAACGGCCACCAAGGCGACGACGGGUAGCCGGCCUGAGAGGGUGUCCGGCCACACUGGGACUGAGAUACGGCCCAGACUCCUACGGGAGGCAGCAGUGGGGAAUAUUGCACAAUGGGCGCAAGCCUGAUGCAGCGACGCCGCGUGAGGGAUGACGGCCUCGG
rnacentral:rRNA from 1 species